ACAGAGGUGGUGCUCCUCCUUUUACCAACCCUAAAUAGGCAGGCUUCCUUUUCCUGUUAAGAAAGUCAAUGUCUUUAGGUGUUGGUGUGGAAAUUGCAGAGUCAAGUUCUUCCUCUAGUGGAAACUGUCCUACAAAAUGUGCCAAGAAUAUGCUGUGCUACCAAGCAGAGCUCUUUGGACAUCCAGUGUGAACAAUAUCAGGACCACUUACGAGAUCUGACAAAGUGGAGGUAGUUCUUUGACAUGAUAAAAUCAAGUCAAGCUUUCUGCUGACUCUUGAUGUACCAGUGAAACUUCUUCCCAUGUUGCUGCUGAAGAUCAGGUGAGACAAGGAAGAGGACCCAGUAUCAUGUGAUCAUCCAGCUCUCUGCAGACCACUAGGAAAUGUUCUUUAUAGCUCUAAGAAGAAAAGUUACUGUUUCUGGCAAAGAAUAUAGUACAAAUUUUAUAGCACAAAUCACAGAAUUCCAAGUCUUCUGGGGCAAACUGUGAAACUCUGUGAAUUUUCUCCAGGGAACUAUUGCCAUGUUUACCAAGCAAUGUCACCCUUAUUCCAGUAAAAUGACUUUUUUUCUGCCUGCAAAAAGAAA